GGGGAUGGAAGAGGUUUAUUUCGGACAUCCUGAUGCUAGUUAUAGAAGUGAAGCAUUUGCGUGUUGCUCAAAUACUGAAUAAUAGUUUAACAACACACUACAUUCACAUGUAUACAGAUUUAACUUUAAUUUUGUAUUAAGUCUGAGGAGUUUUCUGGUACAGGGUUAUUCCAGGUGUCUUGGCAGAAAAGUUAGAUGUAGCAUGUUUUAUGUUGUAAUUUUAGCUCCAGGAAAGAGGAUGGCAUCAAACCAGAACUGCCUGGACCAAAACCUUCACUGAGCUUUACGAAAGAAACCAACUCACCCCGGCCUUUUACUUUCUCAAAGGGUCGUCACGUAGCCAGCAGUAAAACAAAGACAUCCUCUAAAGAUGGUACAUCGUCUGAUGAAUCCAGUAGUUCUACUCCUGUGAGACGGACGUCCGCUAAAGAGAGAGAAUCAGUGGACAGUACUUCACCCGACAGUUCCCCGAAUGCCCCCAUCAAUGACCUCAACAGAUCAAGUGAUGGAAGUCCCUCGGGGAAGUGACAAUGGCUGAUUGGGGAGCCAGUACGGGAAUCAUGUGAAAUGACAGCCGGAUGAUCAUGGUAAUGGGACACAGUGAAAUACUAUCAAUGCAGUGGCCAUCCAUGUACAUAAAAUGUCAAUAUAUGCACCAGUGCUCAUUUCAAAUGCAUUCUUAUCAGCAUAUAGUGGCUGUAACAGCAAUACAUGACAGACAAGUACAUGCAUUGGGGAACAGUCUGAACUCUUAAAACUCCUGAUGGCCUUUAACAAAGCAGCUUAAAGUCAUGUGCUCUUUUGCUCUUGUCUGUUGUUUGUGACAUUGUAUAUGUGCCCGUAAAACAUUGAGGUUGUACUCAAGCGCUGAAAGGUUACAACUGGGAAUUGUGUGUUUACUGUGGUUUGGGCCUCUUGUUUGGCCUGUCAGAGUCUGUGAACCUUUGAUCAUUUGUAUUUGUCAUCUGUGAGACUGUUUGCCCAGCUGUCAUUAUUACUCUACUCCUGCCAUCACAAGAAAGUGUUUAGCUACCACAAGUGUCUCUGUAUGUCUAUCUGCCUGUUGUUGGUCUGUAUGUUUGUCGGUCACUCAAAGUUUUUGAUAUCUUUUAACAUGGGCCAUUCACAUUCAACAUGUAUAAUGAGAUGAGGUACCUGGGUGGAAGACAGCAGUCUCUAUGCUGGAUUUCUGGCUGCUGAAAAAUUUGUUCUUGUUUUAUCAUGUGCAGGGAGUUUUUUGAGCAAAGAGAGAUGGGAAACUCUCCGUAGAGAGAAAGCUUAAUGGCUCUGUACAUUAUCAAUGAAGCUUGUGAUUUUAAUAGUUAUAUACAUUUAUAUAUACAAUAUAAAUAUUUCAGUUAUAAAAACUUUGACAAUUUUUUUUGCAUUGUGUGUUAUGUUACUUUAAAAGAACUAAUCAUUUAAAAAUUGAAAAAACGUACUUUUCAUUUUGUAUACUGUUCUACAACUUGUACAUAUAUAACUUUUGUUCUUUUUCUGUUUUUUUUUUCUUAUGCAUAUAUUAGUGUUCAUUCAACAGUGCC